rnacentral:rRNA from 1 species
AACGUAGGUACCGAGCGUUAUCCGGAUUCACUGGGCGUAAAGCGCGUGCAGGUGGUUUGGUAAGUCGGGCAUGAAAACUCUUGGCUCAACUGAGAGACGCUGUCCGAUACUGCCGGACUUGAGGGUGUAAGAGGGAGGUGGAAUUCCGCAUGUAGUGGUGAAAUGCGUAGAUAUGCGGAGGAACACCAGUGGCGAAGGCGGCUUUCUGGACAGACACCGACGCUGAGGCACGAAAGCUAGGGGAGCAAACAGG